rnacentral:rRNA from 1 species
GACGAACGCUGGCGGCGUGCUUAACACAUGCAAGUCGAGCGAUGAAACACCUUCGGGUGUGAAUUAGCGGCGAACGGGUGAGGAACACGUGAGAAAUCUGCCUUCAACACUGGGAUAACUCCGGGAAACCGGGGCUAAUACCGGAUAUGAAACCUGCGGGCAUCCGCGGGUUUGGAAAGUUUUUCGGUUGAAGAUGAUCUCGCGGCCUAUCAGCUUGUUGGUGAGGUAAUGGCUCACCAAGGCGACGACGGGUAGCCGGCCUGAGAGGGCGACCGGCCACACUGGGACUGAGACACGGCACAGACUCCGACGGGAGGCAGCAGUGGGGAAUAUUGGGCAAUGGAGGAAACUCUGACCCAGCGACGCCGCGUGCGGGAUGAAGGCCUUCGGGUUGUAAACCGCUUUCAGCAGGGAAGAAGCGAAAGUGACGGUACCUGCAGAAGAAGCACCGGCUAACUAUGUGCCAGCCGCCGCCGUAA